rnacentral:lncRNA from 1 species
GAUUAUGUUGUUCUCAAUCCGCUUACUAGAGCUCUCAAGGUGCUUCCCCCACCGCCUCUGAAAGAGGUUUCAAGGGCAGUCGUAUAUAUACUCCUGCGUCUUUGUUCUGCGCUGGUAUUGGAACCGUCCAUGCAGCGGUACUGGAUCUGUAUAGCAGAAGAGCGAUUGCAUGUAUAUGACUCAAGAUCAGGAGUGUGGGACCAAGUGGAUUACCUUCCUGGCUGGUCUCAUCUCACAUAUGGAGUGGGAAUGGCCAACAGCAAAGCUCAUUUUAAUUCGACUCAGGGGAUAUUGAGCUUCAACAUGGAAGAAAUGAGAUGGUCCAUCGAGUGGUCAUCAUCCAAUCGACCUAUGGGAGCUGGUUGGGCCAAUUGGGUGGUAACAACAGCACCCCAGUUCUUCAUUGUGGCUAUAGGAGCAGUUCGUGGGGUUGUGAAGAUGAUGCUAAUAAGGUUGGACUGUGCAUCCAAGAGAUUUGUUAAGGAGGCAAGCUUUCCUUACAACGAGGAAUACCAUCUUAUCCCUCCGGCCUGUUUCACCUUCAUGAUUCCGGAUAAGAGUAAGGUGUUUUUUUUGGAUUAUGAGAGUAAGACCUGGACUAACAUUCCAACUCAGAACCCUUCAGUUGUGAUGUCUGCUUUUCUGUUUGCACCAUCUUUGGUGCCUCCAUGAAAGUUAAUAUUUUAUGUUAUUAGAAUUUUCUUCUAGGCAUCCAAAUGUUUUAACAGCACUGAAGGAAUGUGGAAGGAAUGGAAGCGUAGAUCACGAU